CCUUGAGCUGCUUCCUCUGCUGUAAAAAAAGAGAAAGUAUAUAAUCCCUGUGAUCACUGCUCUUCAUCCUCACAUGGAAAUACCAGCAACAAGAACAAUGCAACUCACACCAAUCCUUAAUUUGUUCCCUUCCUCAGCCUUCCCCGCAGCCAUCGUGCUGCCUCGGGCAGGAAGCACUCGCUGGAGACUCACAAGCUGCUGGGUGACUCGGAGGGCUUCGGGAACAGCCUUGAGGAAACUGCCGAGAAUCUGAAGCAGCUCUUGUCCAAGUGAUGAUGCUCCCAGCCAGGACUGGGAUGAGGACGUCCCUGUCCACACCCUGCAGCUCAACAAGCACACCACAUGUUGAACACUGUCACAGGUCAAGAUCUUCUCCCCGGACCUGCUGUACCGGUUGAUGUACUUGGCGGCAGUGAGUGACAUCCCCCUGUCCGUGGCCACUGACAUGCUGGAAGAGUGUGGCCUGGACUACCUCCCCAACACAGCCUGCUCGCAGCAGCAGCGUUGAGGCGGGAUGCAGCGUGCUCUGAGGCGACCCCGGGCAGGAGGCAACACGUGACCUCGAGCACCAGACCUUUUACCUCUAUUCAGGAGCAAUCGUGCAACUGAUGGAAGCUGGCACAGGAAGUUGCUGAUAUGUGGGCUAUGGCUGACUGGCUGGUGCUGUCUGGUCACUCAGCUCAGCAAGGGACUGGAAGCUGGAACUCUCUCUCUCUCUCUCUCUCUCUCACAAAAAAAAGUAAUGUAAAAGUGUAUAAGGUCCAUUGAAAAGAAGAGAGAGAGAGAGAGAGAGCCAUCUCAUCCUCUCUCUCUCUCCCCUCAACAUCCAGGCGGCAUCUUGGGAGGGGAGGGGAAGAGAAGAGAAGGGAAGGGAAGGGAAGAAUACAAUAGCUCACUGGUGGACAGAGGAAAGAGACAAGGAAGAAGAAGAAGAGUAGACUCGUCUCGUCUCGUCUCCCCCAGCAUCCAGGCAGCAUCUUGAAGGCCUGACUGGUUCCCUCGGCUCAGUGGUCUCGUCUCUGUCUCCCUUCCUGCAAGAGUCUGGCAGAGUUUAGUGCCAAGAAUGUGUGUG